UACGUAGGGUGCGAGCGUUGUCCGGAAUUAUUGGGCGUAAAAGAGCUUGUAGGCGGCUCUUGUCGCGUCAUGCCCUGUGGAAAACCCGAAGGCUUCAACCUCGGGCCUGCAGUGGGUACGGGCAGACUAGAGUGCGGUAGGGGAGAUUGGAAUUCCUGGUGUAGCGGUGGAAAUGCGCCAGAUAGUCAGGAGGAACACCAAUGGCGAAGGCAGAAUCUCUGGGCCGUAACUGAACGCGUGGAGGAAGCGGAAAGCAUCGGGGAGC
rnacentral:rRNA from 1 species